CCAGAAGGACCCGUAAGUCCAAUCAACAAGCCUUAUUAAACACCUUGCCUGUGCAAAUUUAGGUCUGGUGACCAUUUACUGUGUUUGCAAUGUUAUUAUUAAUGUUAAAAAAGAAAGGCCAGUGCAAUCCUCGUUGCCCCGGCAAUUUAUAUUUUUCUUCUCUUUGCAGUAUUUUCCAUCUGCCUCCAUUCUCUCUGACCCAAGACAAGUAAAAAUAAGAGCCACCAUUUAAUGAACAUGUAUAUUAUGGUUUGGCUGUGUCUCUACCCAAAUGUUUUCUUGAAUUGUAAUCCCCAUCAUUCCCUCAUGUCUAGGUAGAGACCUGGUGGGAAGUGAUUGCGUCAUGGGUUGGUUUCCUCCAUGCUGUUCUAGGGAUAGCAAAUGACUUCUCAUGAGAUCUGAUGGUCUUACGAGGGACGCUUCCCACUUCACUCACUCUUCUCUCUCCUGCUGCCACAUGAAGAAGGACCUUCCUUCCCCGUCCCCUUCCACCAUGAUUAUAUGCAUUUUUGAGACAAGAGGCUGUAGCUGGCCUUGGAAGAAGAAAAAUGAGAACAGGUUCUGGAAAGGGGAAAAGGACCAAACAAUCCUUCCAUCACAGGAGGGAGAGAUAGCACUGAACAGGAAACAGGUGAGUAAACAAGAAUAUCACCAUCCCUGGGUUGAGAUAGGGGAGCAAAGAUACAAAUAGCAUGGCUUUGAACCAAAAGGGUUGGAGGGGGUACUUCAUGGUAUGCAUCAGAGGAUGGAGACUCAGAG
rnacentral:lncRNA from 1 species